GACGAACGCUGGCGGCGUGCUUAACACAUGCAAGUCGAACGGAGUGGCGAACGGGUGAGUAACACGUGGGUGACCUGCCCUGCACUUCGGGAUAAGCCUGGGAAACUGGGUCUAAUACCGGAUAGUGGGGGAUGGGCCCGCGGCCUAUCAGCUUGCUGGGGGGGUAAUGGCCUACCAAGGGGGCGACGGGUAGCCGGCCUGAGCGGGUGGACGGCCACAUUGGGACUGAGGCACGGCUCAGACUCCUACGGGGGGAAGCAGUGGGGAAUAUUGCACAAUGGGCGGAAGCCGGAUGCAGCGACGCCGCGUGGGUGAUGACGGCUUUCGGGUUGUAAACUCCUUUCACCAUCGACGCGGUAGAUGGAGAAGAAGCACCGGCUAACGACGUGCCAGCCGCCGCGGUAAGUC
rnacentral:rRNA from 1 species